rnacentral:rRNA from 1 species
AACGAACGCUGGCGGCAGGCUUAACACAUGCAAGUCGAACGCCCCGCAAGGGGAGUGGCAGACGGGUGAGUAACGCGUGGGAACAUACCCUUUUCUACGGAAUAGCUCUGGGAAACUGGAAUUAAUACCGUAUACGCCCUACGGGGGAAAGAUUUAUCGGGGAAGGAUUGGCCCGCGUGGGAUUAGCUAGUUGGUGGGGUAAAGGCCUACCAAGGCGACGAUCCAUAGCUGGUCUGAGAGGAUGAUCAGCCACAUUGGGACUGAGACACGGCCCAAACUCCUACGGGAGGCAGCAGUGGGGAAUAUUGGACAAUGGGCGCAAGCCUGAUCCAGCCAUGCCGCGUGAGUGAUGAAGGCCUUAGGGUUGUAAAGCUCUUUAACCGAUGAAGAUAAUGACGGUAGUCGGAGAAGAAGCCCCGGCUAACUUCGUG